rfam:Cryptosporidium ubiquitum isolate 39726 contig_20, whole genome shotgun sequence.
CCGGGCGUAGCUCAGGGGUAGAGCGAUUGACUGUAGACUUGGCAGACAUCAAUUGGUCCCGUGUUCGAUUCACGGUGCCCGGA